UGGCGGCGGCCUAAACAUGCAAGUCGAACGGUAACAGGAAAAGCUUGCUUCUUUGCUGACGAGUGGCGGACGGGUGAGUAAUGUCUGGGAAACUGCCUGAUGGAGGGGGAUAACUACUGGAAACGGUAGCUAAUACCGCAUAACGUCGCAAGACCAAAGAGGGGGACCUUCGGGCCUCUUGCCAUCGGAUGUGCCCAGAUGGGAUUAGCUAGUAGGUGGGGUAACGGCUCACCUAGGCGACGAUCCCUAGCUGGUCUGAGAGGAUGACCAGCCACACUGGAACUGAGACACGGUCCAGACUCCUACGGGAGGCAAGCAGUGGGGGAAUUAUUGAACAAUUGGGCGCAAGCCCUGAUGCAGCCAUGCCCCCGGGUAUUGAAGGAAAGGCCCUUUCGGGUUUGGAAAAGUACUUUCCAGGCGGGGGAGGAAGAGGAGGGAAAAAGUUAAUUACCUUUGGCUUCAUUUGACCUUUCCCCGGAAAAAAAAAG
rnacentral:rRNA from 1 species